CAGUACUGACCGGCUUGUAGCUGUAGCCGCUCUGCGCGCGGUGAAGAUUUUUAGCUUCCGCUGCUGGGGAGAUCCGUUAAAAUGCAAGGGACUCCAGGUGCACCGGGGUCUUCGCGAGUUUCUGGGUUGGAAGCCCCUGGCGGGUUUAAGCGCCCUCUAAGUCGCGGGGCAGCCAAGUGCAGCGGCAGGGCGCGAGCAAGAUGACCGAGACCCAUCACCCCUGAACCCCAGGACUUGGGCCGAGAGAGAGAGAACACGUGGCCGCUUUGCAUGUGCGCCAUCGACUGCAAGUUCAGUAGCCGCUGCGUGUGAUCCGAGGUGGAAACCCGGCUUGUCCCUAUUGUAGCUGGGAAGGACAUAGUAAGGUAACAAGAAAACCUCACUGCGUGAAACUUCAUCAACAUGGUAUAGUGCAAGCAGCCUGGUGAAUAAAAGGUCUGUAGGUUUUCAGGGCUUGGUACAUGUUACCAUGUACCAACAAGUUAGGCUGGCGGUGACAGUUUUCAAGAAAACAAAUUAUACACGUGCACCAACACCUGUUGACUGUAAGCCAUUGAUCCCCUCAUAAAAAUGAUAAAAA